CUAUGUUGUGUACCACACCUGAUGUGUGCCUUACCAUGAAUCCGUCAAGUGGUACGAAAGUGAUCCAGGAAUUGAUUACUAGACAGCGGUCAAAAGUGAUCCUUAGUAACUAGUGAACUAAGGAAUUUUUAUCGAUUAUGGAGGUGAUAAAAAAGUUCGUCGUAAAGGGUUACGUCGAUGCAAGCUUUGACACUAAUCUGGAUGACUUUGAGUAGUAAACCAGAUUCCUAUAGUGGAGCAGUCAUUUGGAACAGUUCCAAAUGGCACGUGGUAGAAGCAUCUAUAGGAUGACAUAGAGAUCUGUAAAGCACACACGGAUCUGAAAGGUUCAGACCCGUAGAC
rnacentral:lncRNA from 1 species